CCUACGGGUGGCAGCAGUGGGGAAUAUUGCACAAUGGGGGAAACCCUGAUGCAGCGACGCCGCGUGAGUGAAGAAGUAAUUCGUUAUGUAACGCUCUAUCAGCAGGGAAGAAAAGGACGGUACCUGAGAAAGAAGCCCCGGCUAACUACGUACCAGCAGCCGCGGUAAUAGGUAGGGGGAAGGCGUUACCCGGAUUACUUGGGUGUAAAGGGAGCGUAGACGGAAGUGCAGGUUUGGAGUGAAAGGCGGGGGCGCAACCCCCGUACUGCUCUGGAAACGGUACGGCUGGAGUGCAGGAGAGGUAAGUGGAAUUCCUAGUGUAGCGGUGAAAUGCGUAGAUAUUAGGAGGAACACCAGUGGCGAAGGCGGCUUACUGGACUGUAACUGACGUUGAGGCUCGAAAGCGUGGGGAGCAAACAGGAUUAGAUACCCGUGUAGUC
rnacentral:rRNA from 1 species